rnacentral:rRNA from 1 species
AUGCACGCUGGCGGCGUGCCUAAUACAUGCCAGUCGAGCGAACAGACGAGGAGCUUGCUCCUCUGACGUUGGCGGCGGACGGGUGAGUAACACGUGGAUAACCUACCUAUAAGACUGGGAUAACUUCGGGAAACCGGAGCUAAUACCGGAUAAUAUAUUGAACCGCAUGGUUCAAUAGUGAAAGACGGUUUUGCUGUCACUUAUAGAUGGAUCCGCGCCGCAUUAGCUAGUUGGUAAGGUAACGGCUUACCAAGGCAACGAUGCGUAGCCGACCUGAGAGGGUGAUCGGCCACACUGGAACUGAGACACGGUCCAGACUCCUACGGGAGGCAGCAGUAGGGAAUCUUCCGCAAUGGGCGAAAGCCUGACGGAGCAACGCCGCGUGAGUGAUGAAGGUCUUCGGAUCGUAAAACUCUGUUAUUAGGGAAGAACAAAUGUGUAAGUAACUAUGCACGUCUUGACGGUACCUAAUCAGAAAGCCACGGCUAACUACGUG